UACGUAGGGGGCGAGCGUUGUUCGGAAUUACUGGGCGUAAAGCGCACGCAGGCGGAUUGAUGAAGUCGGGGGUGAAAUCCCGGGGCUCAACCUCGGAAUUGCCUUCGAUACUGUUAGUCUUGGAGUCCGGGAGAGGUGAGUGGAAUUCCUAGUGUAGAGGUGAAAUUCGUAGAUAUUAGGAAGAACACCAGGUGGCAGAAGGCGGCUCACUGGCCCGGUACUGACGCUGAGGCGCGAAAGCGUGGGGAGCAAACAGG
rnacentral:rRNA from 1 species